UCAGAGUGCGUAUUUCCAGCAAGUUCCAGAAGGUCUGUUUCCAGCAAGAUACAGAAGACAAAUUUCCAGCAAGUUCUAGAGAGUGGAUUUCUGUCAAGUCCACCAACUGAGUGACACAAGGACUUUGCCUUGAGAUUUCAUUCAGUGACCCCCAACCAUGCCCUCUCCAAGGCUUGGAUUUCAGCUCUGGGAGUUUAAUAGAUGAAAGAAAUGCCUUUAUUCCCAGAAGAGACUAUGACUGUGCUGAUUUUGUAACAAGGACAAAAGGAAAAAUGAAAUGAUUACUAAGACUGAGCAUCUUUACAAGGUACUUUUCCCAGACUCAACAGUCCAUAUCCCGCAGCACCACGCACUCUUAUCCAAGAAAAAGAAAAGAAACUGAUUCUCAACAGUAACCUCUGUGACCACGAGGGACUUGAUGCAAGUAUGAUGGGCUCAAAAUAAGACUGACUGACAUAAAGCAGAAAAUCUGUCAUGCCAAGCUUCCACCAUCAUCGGAGAGGAUCUACCUGGGCUUUUAAAGCUCAAAUUCUGUCAUGGAGGAGAAACUUCUCUCACUCCAUAUCAUGAUCUAGCUCCUAGUUUUCUUCUUCUUUUCCCAACUAGACUUCUUGAAAGAACAAUCUAUGUGACAUCAUAAUAUAAUUGAUAUACUAUCCUAUUUUUUCAUUGUAUCUUUUCCCUAAAGUUGGCCAUUUUGCCAACUCUCCCAACCUUUGUCCCUAUAAACCAAUUGGCUUGUUACCUUGGAGAAGGGACAAAGUAGGAAAAUCUUUAUGGUUUUAGGUUCCAAAAGUUCAAAGUCUGAUAUGGAGAGAUUUAGGCUAUAGGAAAAAUAAUGGCUUUAGGAGAAGCUAGGGGCAAGGGAUAUAUAGAUGGAGGGAGAGCAGGCAGCAUCCUUCUUCUCCCCCAGCUCUAGAACCAGAUUUGUCUGGGUCAGUACCACACACAGCCUUUCUAACCUUCCUGGCCUCCAAACAUCUCUAUUCUUUUCUUAGUAAUGAAUAAUAUUCCAAAAUUCUGGGGGAAAAAAACUAGAAUUGGGAUUCUCAAAAUGGAAAUAGAAUUGGUGGGAUGUAUUAAAAUCUGUAUUUCUUUACAGACUUGAGUUGUAGGCUAAAAUUUGUACUUCUCCAUGUUCAUUUAUCCUUGCCUCCCCAGUUUUUUACUGACCAUUCAUCCUUUACCCCAGGCAAUUUGCUCAACCCCCACCAGUCCACUAAGAAUUCCCAUAAUGAAGUCAUCAAUAACCCUCUAUUUCCCAACCCAAUCUUCAAUCCUCAGAACUUAUCCCACAAACUUUUCAAUUAGAGGUUGAAAGUACUGAUACACUCUUUCUUUCCUUUUUUUCCCCCUUGGCAGUAUGGAGAUUGAACACAGGGUCUUGCGCAUGCUAGGCAAGUGAACUAC